UACGGAGGGUGCAAGCGUUAUCCGGAUUCACUGGGUUUAAAGGGUGCGUAGGCGGUUUGGUAAGUCCGUGGUGAAAUCUCCGAGCUUAACUCGGAAACUGCCGUGGAUACUAUCAAUCUUGAAUAUCGUGGAGGUAAGCGAAAUAUGUCAUGUAGCGGUGAAAUGCUUAGAGAUGACAUAGAACACCAAUUGCGUAGGCAGCUUACUACACGAUCAUUGACGCUGAGGCACGAAAGCGUGGGGAUCAAACAGG
rnacentral:rRNA from 1 species